rnacentral:piRNA from 1 species
UAAGAAAGGAAAUAUAAAUUAUAAAU